AAGAGAGGGCCUUUACCAAUUUCCUCAAAAAGCAUGGGGUGAGGGAGACAAAUGGAGAGGGAGGAGACUGAACUGCAUUUUCCUUCUGAAUUUUCCAUCAAUCUUGAACACAAAAGGGCUGUACAUGGCCCAGCCUGCCGGGGGUGCAGCUUCUCCAGGGAGUUGCACUUGAGUAGAAAGUGGAUGAUAAAAUCAGGAUCUGAAAAGGCUUGGGAAGACACCUCAGAGCUGUUCAUCAAUUAUCACUGCUAUUUAUUUCCUGAAAUUGGAACGGAGAACUCGGCGCCUGAGUUGGUUUGAAGACACAGGAAUGUUGUUCCACUGCCUCCAACUUUGGCAGACCCCUUGCAAGCCUGUGACAAAUUACUAAUCAGUCUGCAAUUUUUCACACCUGUCUUGUGUCUGUUUUGCUGUGCUCUGGUGUGAUUACUGCAUAUUCCAUCUCCCAGCACCCUGUAAAUGAUCUAUCAGCCCUACUGAAUGUGGAGCUCCCUCCUGCAUUCCGUGAGCUGAGCUGGGCCCGUGCCAGGCCUGAGCCUCCCCUGCUUCCUCCAUGUGGGAGGCAGAUUGCUAAAGUCAGGAUGGUAAAUAAAAGGCUCAGAAAAACCCCCACCAAGCUGAAUUUCUCCCCUCCAUAAUAACAGUGUGCUGCGUUUCAAGUGGCUUCUGAUUUUUCCCUAGUUUUUGCCGGCUUCUAUGAAGUUAAAUGUCCUGUUUCUUUCAGAGAAUGAGUAAAUCCAUUAACUCCAAGUAAUACACAGCAAAACAAUGUUGUAACAUGAUUGGUUUGCUUAAUCUGCCUGUGAAUGACUCUUUCCCCACCACCAGCCUCGUUAAUCCAGUGUAAUUUUUGUCUUUUUCCUACAGUGAUUGGUUUUGUGUUGUGUAGAGCUGAUAAAUUCCAUUCUUCCAAUGCAAUAUAUCACAGAUUUCUCUGUGAAUUCUUCAGAAUCCUUCUGAGGAAAGUGUGAGACCCGAGGUGCAGCUGUGAGAGGGCUUUUCAUGAUCCUUGCUCAGCACUCCCCACGAGCCUCACCUGGACACGGGUACAGCUGCUGUGGGUGCCCUGUGCCCCUGACAGGAGGGCACUGCCACCUCUGCCAGGGUCCCUACAGGCUGAAUCCCCACGAGACUUCAGGUGCAGGAGAAGACAAACUGAUGGGAAACCCACUGAGGCCAAUUACUGUGAAGUUUCUAGAAGAGUGAGUUACAAAUAAUACCAGAAAAAGCAGCAAGCUACAAACCAACAUCACAAGGCACCUUCGUGUACCAGGGGUAGAUAAAAGAGAGAGAAACCUGCUUUGUAAUUUUUUUUUCCCCCAGCUAUCACUGCAAUGUCUCCAGGCUGCUGUUGGAGCAGCUCAGUGAAUCCCUCAGCACACAGGAGAGGUUUGUUGUUUUUGGAGACACAGGUACAGCCCCUUUAAUGGGCUCUCUGCUCCCCACCCCUGAGCCAAGGGGGAGGAUGGAUGGUGCUAAACAGCCAGCAGCUGUUAUCUGGCUGCCCCUUGGAGUCUGAGGGGAUGGCAUUGCUGUGAAAGGUGGCACAAGGGUUUCUACCCCAGGAGCAGAAGGUCCUCGAGGCUGCAGAGAGCAGCACAAAAUCAAGGAACCCUCAGUCAUGGUAGGAGACACUGCACAAAGGGGGUUGAGUGAUUGAACAAGCCCUGUUUGCCACACUCCUGCAGGGAUGAAGAUGUGUUAGAAGGAGGUUUGAAGUCACCCAGCCCCCAAGUGAAGGAAACAGUCAGAUGGGAUCAUCGUGGUGAUGGCUAUUUGCAUGCCACAGUGACACAAGGGUGAAGCUAAAGGCCAGCAGCUCAAGAGAGAAGUGGACUCUGUGUCAGCUGGGAGGAAAAAAAAAGGGAUAAAGAAGAAAGAAGGGAGAAGGUGGCAGAGGUGAGGGAGUUGAGAGGCUGCUACAGCUUGAAAGAACCAUUAGAAGUGCUACUAUAUUAAAUGGGGAAGGGCAUCAAGGGGGAAUAUUUUGCUUUUUCAGAAGUUUUGAAGAACUGUACUAAUAAAGUAAGGUAAGCAGGCAAGGUCAAGGAGGCCAAAAAUGAGCAAUGAGGCAGCUCUACUGUUCUGACAGAUACAUGGCUCUGCACCUGCCACGGCCCAGAUGUGGGACAAAGGCGUGAAGCAAGAGGCAGAAGAUAAAUAAUGGUGCAGGAAGGCUUUAAAUUACAAGUGAUCAAUUCCUCUGACAUAAAUAAAGUUUCUUUAACCUCAGUUCCCCCAUGAGUCAGCAUUUUGGGCUGGAAAUGAUUUACAGAAAAACCCAAGAGAUGUUUGAGAUGUGAUUGCAAGUGGAGAAUGUAAAUUUAAGGAAAACAGUGCUUAGUGAGGGGGGAUGAAACAAG